GUAUAUAUAGCUCAGUGGUAGAGUGCCUGCUUAGCAUGCAUGAGGUCCUGAGUUCAAUUCCCAGUAUCUUCA
rnacentral:tRNA from 1 species